GAUGAACGCUGGCGGCGUGCCUAAUACAUGCAAGUCGAGCGAACAGACGAGGAGCUUGCUCCUCUGACGUUAGCGGCGGACGGGUGAGUAACACGUGGAUAACCUACCUAUAAGACUGGGAUAACUUCGGGAAACCGGAGCUAAUACCGGAUAAUAUAUUGAACCGCAUGGUUCAAUAGUGAAAGACGGUUUUGCUGUCACUUAUAGAUGGAUCCGCGCCGCAUUAGCUAGUUGGUAAGGUAACGGCUUACCAAGGCGACGAUGCGUAGCCGACCUGAGAGGGUAAACGGAAAAAAAGGAAUAGAGACACGGGGCAGAGUAAUAGGGGAGGCAGAAGUAGGGAAACAACAGAAAUGGGAGAAAGCUGGAAGAAGCAAGGAAGCAAGAGGGAGGAGGGUAUACGAAUAGGAAAAAGUUGUAAAUAGGGAAAAAAAAAUAGGUAAGAAAAAGUGAAGGUCUAAAGGGUACAUAAAAAGAAAGACAAGGCUGACAAAGAG
rnacentral:rRNA from 1 species